rnacentral:lncRNA from 1 species
UUGGCUCAGAUUACUUGUAAAACUUAAAAAUACUUAGCUUGAUCCACCUCCUUUCUUCGAAUCUUUGGAAGUUACAUUCUUUCAAAUAUAUAUGUCCAUCAAAUGGUUCUUCUCAUCACCAUCAUCAUCUUUUUAUUUGAUUUUUUCACUCGAUUUUCGGUACUCACAUUGGAGUCCGGCUAAUCUGAAUUCGCGCUGAAAAGGCCCACAUUGAGAGUAAAGCGCUCUCUAAAGAAGGCAACUCCAUACCCAGGAGCUCGAAUUCAAGACAUCUGGUUAAGAAUGAAUUAGGAAUACUUACCACUCUACCAAAACUCUCGUUUGUAUCAUCAUCAUUACUACUACUACUACUAUUAUUAUUAUUAUUAUUAUAAAGUAUCACUACAUAUAUUCAUUGCGUCUAAAAUAUGUAUAUAUAUUUGAAGCGGGUGCACCAUUGUCAAAACUUAUGUGACCGAUUCCACAUCGUAAAACG